ACCGGCGCACGGGUGCGUAACGCGUAUACAUCUACCUUUUGCUGAGGGAUAGCCUUUGGAAACGAAGAUUAAUACCUCAUAGUUUCACCUGAAUAAAGGUUACGGCAAAAGAUGAGUAUGCGUUCUAUUAGCUAGAUGGUGUGGUAACGGCACACCAUGGCAACGAUAGAUAGGGGCCCUGAGAGGGGGAUCCCCCACACUGGUACUGAGACACGGACCAGACUCCUACGGGAGGCAGCAGUGAGGAAUAUUGGACAAUGGAGGCAACUCUGAUCCAGCCAUGCCGCGUGCAGGAAGACUGCCUAUGGGUUGUAAACUGCUUUUAUACAGGAAGAAACCGCUCUACGUGUAGAGCCUUGACGGUACUGUAAGAAUAAGGAUCGGCUAACUCCGUGCCAGCAGCCGCGGUAAUACGGAGGAUCCAAGCGUUAUCCGGAAUCAUUGGGUUUAAAGGGUCCGUAGGUGGAUAAUUAAGUCAGAGGUGAAAUCCUGCAGCUCAACUGUAGAAUUGCCUUUGAUACUGGUUAUCUUGAGUUAUUGUGAAGUAGUUAGAAUAUGUAGUGUAGCGGUGAAAUGCAUAGAUAUUACAUAGAAUACCCAUUGCGAAGGCGGAUUAACUACAUAAUACUGACACUGAUGGACGAAGCGUGAGAAGCGACAGAUUAGAUACCUUGGUAGUUC
rnacentral:rRNA from 1 species